rnacentral:piRNA from 1 species
UAAAGGUGUCAAUUCCUGUAGAAAGCAGU